rnacentral:rRNA from 1 species
UCUAACAUGUACGCGAGUCAUUGGGACUUUAAAGCCUAAAGGCGUAAUGAAAGUGAAGGUCGGCCCUAGUGUCGACCGAUGGAGGAUGGCUCGCGUCACGAUGCGAGCCCGCACUCCAGGGGCGUCUCGUGCUCAUUGCGAGCAGCGGCGCACCCAGAGCGUACACGUUGGGACCCGAAAGAUGGUGAACUAUGCCUGGUCAGGACGAAGUCAGGGGAAACCCUGAUGGAGGUCCGUAGCGAUUCUGACGUGCAAAUCGAUCGUCGGAACUGGGUAUAGGGGCGAAAGACUAAUCGAACCAUCUAGUAGCUGGUUCCCUCCGAAGUUUCCCUUAGGAUAGCUGGCACUCGCUUGAGCGAGUCUCAUCUGGUAAAGCGAAUGAUUAGAGGCCUUGGGGCCGAAACGACCUCAACCUAUUCUCAAACUUUAAAUGGGUGAGAUCUCUGGCUUUCUUGAACGUUGAAGCCACGAGAAUUCAUGGAUCAGAGUGCCAAGUGGGCCAAUU